rnacentral:rRNA from 1 species
GUGGGGAAUCUUCCGCAAUGGACGAAAGUCUGACGGAGCGACGCCGCGUGAGUGAAGAAGGCCUUCGGGUCGUAAAGCUCUGUCAUCAGGGACGAACGGCCGGUGGAGUGGAAAGCCACCGGAUUGACGGUACCUGAGAAGGAAGCCACGGCUAACUACGUGCCAGCAGCCGCGGUAAUACGUAGGUGGCAAGCGUUGUCCGGAAUUAUUGGGCGUAAAGCGCGCGCAGGUGGGAUCUUAAGUCCAUUUUUAAAGUUCGGAGCUCAACUCCGUGAUGGGAUGGAAACUGGGAUUCUUGAGUACCGGAGAGGAAAGCGGAAUUCCCCGUGUAGCGGUGAAAUGCGUAGAUAUGGGGAGGAACACCAGUGGCGAAGGCGGCUUUCUGGACGGUGUCUGACACUGAGGCGCGAAAGCUAGGGGAGCGAACGGGAUUAGAAACCCGUGUAGUCC